rnacentral:rRNA from 1 species
UGCAUAGGUAUCUGCCUAUUUGUGGGGGACAACCUGGUGAAAACCAGGCUAAUACCGCAUACGUCCUACGGGAGAAAGCGGGCUUCGGCUCGUGCAGAUAGAUGAGCCUAUGUCGGAUUAGCUAGUUGGUGGGGUAACGGCCUACCAAGGCGACGAUCCGUAGCUGGUCUGAGAGGAUGAUCAGCCACACUGGGACUGAGACACGGCCCAGACUCCUACGGGAGGCAGCAGUGGGGAAUAUUGGACAAUGGGCGCAAGCCUGAUCCAGCAAUGCCGCGUGUGUGAAGAAGGCCUUCGGGUUGUAAAGCACUUUCAGAGGGGAGGAAAGGUAGUAGGUUAAUACCCUGCAACUGUGACGUUACCCUCAGAAGAAGCACCGGCUAACUCUGUGCCAGCAGCCGCGGUAAUACAGAGGGUGCAAGCGUUAAUCGGAAUUACUGGGCGUAAAGCGCGCGUAGGUGGUUUGAUCAGUCGGAUGUGAAAGCCCUGGGCUCAACCUAGGAACUGCAUUCGAUACUGUCAGACUAGAGUAUGGUAGAGGGAAGGGGAAUUCCAGGUGUAGCGGUGAAAUGCGUAGAUAUCUGGAGGAACAUCAGUGGCGAAGGCGCCUUCCUGGACUAAUACUGACACUGAGGUGCGAAAGCGUG